rnacentral:rRNA from 1 species
UACGUAGGGUGCGAGCGUUGUCCGGAAUUAUUGGGCGUAAAGAGCUUGUAGGCGGUUUGUCGCGUCUGCCGUGAAAAUCCGGGGCUCAACCCCGGACUUGCGGUGGGUACGGGCAGACUAGAGUGUGGUAGGGGAGACUGGAAUUCCUGGUGUAGCGGUGAAAUGCGCAGAUAUCAGGAGGAACACCGAUGGCGAAGGCAGCUCGCUGGGACGGUACUGACGCUGAGGCGCGAAAGCGUGGGGAGCAAACAGG